GACAACGAAGCUCAGUGGAAGAGCGCAGGGCUUUGCUCUGAUGUUGCUAAUUCGACUCCAGCCAUUGCCA
rnacentral:tRNA from 1 species